CACAGCCCUACCUCUAAGUGACUUCACAAAAUGAUUGUGCACCUCCUAGUUACUGCUUGUUACCCUUCCAUGAUCUCCACACCCAACACACAUCUUUGCUUCUCUGUUAAUCAUAUGCUGGCUUUGGGAAUUAAGAAGGAAGAACACUACAAGAAAAUCUAAGGGGAAGCACAAUUCUGCUGCUGUACCUCCUGGGAAGCAUGUCCUGAGGCCCACCUUACAAGUGAUGCCCCUGCCUCUGCCCUGGCCACCCCAUCAUGGCUCCAUUGAUAUCUGUGUUCCCUCAGUCCAGAACUUUCACCCAAACUCAUAAGAGAAGUGAAUAGAUGGCUGGUUGAAGCACAUGGAAGUCCAUAUACAUCCAAGAAGAGGCUUCUACAAAUUUCACAUGGAUUCUCAGAACCAAAACUACAUUGCCAGAAAAGAUCCACCUUCAUUCUGUCAUGCACAACAGUGUUUACUUGUUCCUUACAAGAAAACAAGACCGAGAUGGAUGUGAAUGUUCAUAAACCACAGGGAGAGACUAGAGCCAGUUAACUCUGAGGUUAAAGGUACAAAAAAUAAGGAGCGAAGACAUGCCUGACCUGAGAUUGCAUGCAGUGGAGAGACUAAGUGAGUAAGUCUGAUGUGACACUGGUCACAUCAUCUGCUCUUCUCCCCCUAACUCAACAUCUUCAUUUGUCUCAGUUUCACGUCUUCUGACCAGGACUUUACUUUUGCUUCUGCUCUCUCCAAGUCUUCUAGCACUGAGCAUCAACCCUGAUAUUGACCAGGGUGAUUUAUAGGUGUACACAUCUAUUAUACCAGUGGGAUUGGAAGUCUAGUCUCUGAGUGACCGGGCUUCAGACUUAGAUGAGAAUCCAGUACCGACCCCACAGCUUCUUCCAUCUGUGCGAACUUAAGCAAGUCAUUGACUUCUGUUGGCUUCUGGUUUCUGAUCCACAUGAUGAGGACAAUAACAUCAAUGUCACAGAGUUGUUAUGCAACUAAAGUUGUAUCUGUUUACAAAACCACUAAAUAAAUAAUCACAGCAGGCUCA
rnacentral:lncRNA from 12 species